rnacentral:rRNA from 1 species
UACAGAGGGGGCAAGCGUUGUUCGGAAUUACUGGGCGUAAAGGGCGCGUAGGCGGCCUGCUGAGUCGAACGUGAAAUCCCUGGGCUCAACCCAGGAACUGCGUCCGAUACUGGUUGGCUUGAAUCCGGGAGAGGGAUGUGGAAUUCCAGGUGUAGCGGUGAAAUGCGUAGAUAUCUGGAGGAAUACCGGUGGCGAAGGCGGCAUCCUGGACCGGCAUUGACGCUGAGGAGCGAAAGCUAGGGGAGCAAACGGG